UACGUAGGGUGCAAGCGUUAAUCGGAAUUACUGGGCGUAAAGCGUGCGCAGGCGGUCUUGUAAGUCAGAUGUGAAAUCCCCGGGCUUAACCUGGGAACUGCGUUUGAAACUACAAGGCUAGAGUGUGGCAGAGGGGGGUAGAAUUGCUGGUGUAGCGGUGAAAUGCGUAGAGAUCAGCAGGAAUACCCGUGGCGAAGGCGGCCCCCUGGGCCGUACCUGACGCUGAGGCGCGAAGGCUAGGGGAGCGAACGGG
rnacentral:rRNA from 1 species